UACGUAGGGUGCAAGCGUUGUCCGGAAUUAUUGGGCGUAAAGAGCUCGUAGGCGGUCUGUCGCGUCUGCUGUGAAAACUCGGGGCUUAACCCCGGGCCUGCAGUGGGUACGGGCAGACUAGAGUGCGGUAGGGGAGACUGGAAUUCCUGGUGUAGCGGUGAAAUGCGCAGAUAUCAGAAGGAACACCGGUGGCGAAGGCGGGUCUCUGGGCCGUAACUGACGCUGAGGAGCGAAAGCGUGGGGAGCGAACAGG
rnacentral:rRNA from 1 species